rnacentral:rRNA from 2 species
ACGAACGCUGGCGGCAGGCUUAACACAUGCAAGUCGAGCGCAUCCUUCGGGGUGAGCGGCAGACGGGUGAGUAACGCGUGGGAAUCUACCCAUCUCUACGGAAUAACGCAUGGAAACGUGUGCUAAUACCGUAUACGCCCUUUGGGGGAAAGAUUUUAUCGGAGAUGGAUGAGCCCGCGUUGGAUUAGCUAGUUGGUGGGGUAAAGGCCUACCAAGGCGACGAUCCAUAGCUG